rnacentral:rRNA from 1 species
CACGUAGGGGGCGAGCGUUGUCCGGAUUCAUUGGGCGUAAAGCGCGCGCAGGCGGCUCGGAAAGUCGGGUGUGAAAACCUGGGGCUCAACCCCGGGCGUGCAUCCGAUACUGCCGGGCUUGAGGCAGGUAGGGGAGAUCGGAAUUCCUGGUGUAGCGGUGAAAUGCGCAGAUAUCAGGAAGAACACCCGUGGCUAAGGCGGCUCUCUAGUACGGUACUGACGCUGAGACGCGAAAGCGUGGGGAGCGAACAGG